rnacentral:rRNA from 1 species
UGAACGCUAGCUACAGGCUAACACAUGCAAGUCGAGGGGCAGCGAGAGGAAAGCUUGCUUCCUUGUCGGCGACCGGCGCACGGGUGAGUAACGCGUAUCCAACCUUCCCUUAGUAGGGCAUAGCCCGGUGAAAAUCGGAUUAAUACCCUAUGUUAUUCGUCGAGGACAUCUGAAGUGAAUCAAAGAUUUAUCGCUAAGGGAUGGGGAUGCGUCUGAUUAGGUAGUCGGCGGGGUAACGGCCCACCGAGCCAUCGAUCAGUAGGGGUUCUGAGAGGAAGGUCCCCCACACUGGUACUGAGACACGGACCAGACUCCUACGGGAGGCAGCAGUGAGGAAUAUUGGUCAAUGGGCGUAAGCCUGAACCAGCCAAGUAAGCGUGCAGGAUGACGGCCCUAUGGGUUGUAAACUGCUUUUAUACGGGGAUAAAGUGAGGGACGUGUCCCUUAUUGUAGGUACCGUAUGAAUAAGGACCGGCUAAUUCCGUGCCAGCCGCCGC